rnacentral:piRNA from 1 species
UCUGUCUACUGUCGGACUCUACAGGUCAGC